UACGGAGGGUGCGAGCGUUAAUCGGAAUCACUGGGCGUAAAGCGUACGUAGGUGGCAUGGUAAGUCAGACGUGAAAGCCCUCGGCUCAACCGAGGAAUUGCGUUUGAUACUGCUUUGCUAGAGUCUCGGAGAGGUUGGCGGAAUUCCAGGUGUAGGAGUGAAAUCCGUAGAUAUCUGGAGGAACACCAGUGGCGAAGGCGGCCAACUGGACGAGUACUGACACUGAGGUACGAAAGCGUGGGUAGCAAACAGGAUUAGAUACCCUGGUAGUCCACGCCGUAAACGAUGGAUAUUAGGUGUCGGGGGUAACCCUUCGGUGCCGUAGUUAACGCGUUAAAUAUCCCGCCUGGGGAGUACGGUCGCAAGGCUGAA
rnacentral:rRNA from 1 species